rnacentral:rRNA from 1 species
CGACACGCAGUGAGUACGCUGGCGGCGUGCUUACACAUGCAUUUCGAACGAACCUUCGGGUUAGUGGCGGACGGGUGAGUAACGCGUGAGAAUCUGCCCUCAAGGAGUGGGGAUAACCGGUUGGAAACGAACUGCUAAUACCCGCAUAUGCCAGCGAUGGUGAAAUGAAUUUCGCCUGAGGAUGAGCUCGCGUCUGAUUAGUUAGUUGGUGGGGUAACGGCUAACAAGACAUCGAUCAGUAGCUUGGUCUGAGAGGAUGAUCAGCCACACUGGGACUUGAGACACGGACCAGACUCCUACGGGAGGCAACAGAUGGGGAAUUUUCCGCAAUGGGCGAAAGCCUGACGGAGCAACGCCUGCGUGAGGGAUGAAAGGCUCUGGGCUUGUAAACCUCUUAUAUCAAGGAAGAAAGAUCUGACGGUACUUGCUGAAUACAGCCACGGAUAAUUCCGUUGCCAGCAGCCGCGGUAAUACAGGGAGUGGCAAGCGUAAUCCAGGAAUUAUUUGGGCUGUAAAAGCGUCCGCAGGCAAGAUCUUGCCAAGUCUAGAUGUUAAAGCGUGGAUCUUAACUCCAUUACGGCAGUGGAAACUGACAGACUAAAGUGUGGUAAGGGCAGGGGGAUCCCCGGUUAACGCUAAAUGCGUAAUAUCGGAAGAACACCAAUGGGAAAGGACUGUGGGCAUCAAUGAAUACUGGCCA